rnacentral:rRNA from 1 species
CCCUUAGACGUUCUGGGCCGCACGCGCGCUACACUGACGAAGGCAACGAGCUUUCCUUUACCGAAAGGUACGGGUAAUCUUUUGAAACUUCGUCGUGCUGGGGAUAGAUCCUUGCAAUUUUUGAUCUUAAACGAGGAAUGCCUAGUAAGCGCAAGUCAUCAACUUGCGUUGAUUACGUCCCUGCCCUUUGUACACACCGCCCGUCGCUACUACCGAUUGGGUGUGCUGGUGAAAUGUUCGGAUCGGCCGUUUGUCGCGGUUUCCGCGGCUCGUGGCUGAGAAGUUCAUUAAACCCUCCCACCUAGAGGAAGGAGAAGUCGUAACA